rnacentral:lncRNA from 1 species
UAACGGGGUGUUAAAGGUGUCAUAGGAUUGAGUCGGUCUGGUAAGAUGAGUCAAUUAAGUCUAGGGUUUGACGUGUGUGGCAAUGAGUGAGAUCAUUGUAUUGAUUGAUCACUAGGUUGCUAGAAAUGUAUGGAAUUGAAUGUUUGGAAUUAAUGAUGACGAUAUGAAAUGAUAAGAUGCAUUAACUGAUUGUAGUGGCUAGUCAGUCCUAGUUCCCGCAUAGAGUAGUAUAGAGUGUCAUGCGGGCAGGCUGGUCUAGAGUCCCUUCACUGAGUAACUUGUUGCUCAUUCCUCCAUUUCCAUUUCCCUGUGCGCAGGACUAUAAGUAGAAGUAUAUGGAUGUGGGUGUGACGGUAUUUCAAAGAAGGUUAUGCGUCCGUUGACUCUUGGGGCCAGUAACGGGACACGUAGGGUUGUCUAAUUGAGUAGACACGUGUCCAUAACGCCCUUUCGAUAACUCCGGUGGGACGCCGGGGGAUCGGGCUGUUACAAUUGGUAUCAGAGCGGGUUAAGAUCCCUUAGUUCUGUCCUAAGGGAUCGGCAUUUCCGAUGUUUUCAAAAAAAAAAAAAAAGAAUUGUUUUAACUAAAAGAAAAGAAUGUGUGAAAGUUUUGAUUUUUCUGAAAGUUGUGAACGAUUUCAAAACCACCCACUAUAUCUAUACUUCUAUUAUGGUUCUGAUCGGAUGUCUACUUGAAGGAUGUCUUCGACAAUCAGUAACGACCAGAGUGACAAUUACGGGUAUCGUGGACCUGCAUGGUGGAACCCAAUCUACACUCGGACUCAGCGCACCAUAAAGGAAAAGGUGGUACCCCAUCGGUGACGCCGAUUGACGAAGUUUCAUUGCCAGACACAUGAGUUGGAGUGGUUGAAGGAAAGCCAGAGAUGGAAACCCGACUAAUGUAACUACCGAGAGCGUAAAGGUUGUGGCGGAUAUCAUGGGUCUGGAGGAACAAUAGAGGUGCAGUGAAACAAGUUGAGGUCAUAAGUCAAUGAACGUAUUUCCCGAGGAAGGACAUAUACCUAAUGGAGGGCUGGUUCUAGGAUAUCCGCCAGAGAGACAUGAAUGUAAGGGAGUACAAUAAGGAUGUAACCCCCUGAGGAGAUUUGUCGGGCAGCCUCUAAGGAGGCGAGAACUGAUUCACCACUUCCUGAAGGAAAUGAGAACCGAUCGGAGGAAUAGUUGUGACGUGCAAGAUUAAUGGGAUCAUGAGCUAAUCUAGAAGGGUGCAGAGUUAUAGUUUUGGUUGUAAGAAGAUCAUAGGCUAACCAAGCAUCACAUACUCAGAGCCCAAGGGGAACUUACGACUUCGCCAUUACCACAAGGCGGUUUCGUUGUGACAAGAGUGGAAGUGCGAGAAGAACCACACUAGGAUAUAAUGGAUGGGAGGAUACUACCAGUACAACCAGUAGGGCUAUGAUAGGAGGUUCGUUCAUCAAGGAAAACAUGAUCAGACCAAAGGACUCAGAGGACGAGGAUAUGUUUGGUGCGGAGCAGCUAAACACCAAGUUGGGGCUGCUGGACUCAACUAGUAGAAUCUGCGGUUGAAGUGCUAUCCUAACUACCGGUCCGGGCAAGGGCAACUUCAAUUUGGGCUACCAGGGUUAGGACCGAGGGAGUAUAGAGAAUGAUGACCAUGGGAGUGUAUGUGGUAGUGUUAAUAUCUCUCGACGGGUGAACCUGCAUGGAGACCUGCUGGGGUUGGAGUUUGGAAUGAUAUGAAGUGACAGAAUUUUGGGAUGCGUAUUUAGAGGUGUACCAGUGUUCGGGGGAUGUUGGAGUGUGUUAGGGAUAGCAUCGGGGCUUAGCGAGAAUCUAUACGGAGGUCAGAGAUUAAUGAAUAGGAAGAGAUCUAGGAAAGUAGACCGGGACCAAGCACAUGGAGUUAAUGUAUUGUAUUGGCAUGUACUCAUAAUCUUCGAUAGGAGAGGAGAGUAGUCCUUAAUGGAAUAAGGAUUAUGAUAUGGAUAUAAGCUAUCUUGAUGUUGAAAGCUGAAGAGUUAAGUGGAAAGGAGAAUGAUUUGUAAUUGGAAGUGAAAGCUCUAAGUAUUGGGUACCACUGCUGCAGUAGCUGGGUAUGCAGGCGCUUUUGAGCAUUUUUAAGGACCCAUGGAACUGAGAUAGUGCAUACACCUUAGAGCGGAAAUACAGAACAUCGUCUAGUCAAAGGAACCAUAUCGGUUAGCACCAUAUAGUUCGUUGAGUUAUUGGAACCUACAGCAAGUAGCUUUGGAGUUCACUAAGAGCGAUUUGACAUUACGGUAUUUUCAGAUUCUGAUAUCAAAGAAAAAUAUCCAGGGGACAACAUUACAAGUUGGUAAUGGACAUUAUCAGUUGUAGAAGUGUGUCCUUGGAUCAACUGAUGCGCAACAUGUUCCUGUGAAGUGGAUGUACGAUGCCGCAAACGUAUUAAGAUAAGCACACGGUAGUGAUGAUCGAAGACACAAUAUUCUAUUCCACCAGAGGAGUGUGAUGGUACUUGGGAGUAGCUUGUUAAGUUUCGUGAGAUGAAGUGCUCGCUAAGUUAAUCAACGGAGAUAUGGUUGGGUACCACGCAACGGUAAAAGAAGAGAUCAUGGGACAAGUUUAUUGGUCGUAAUGGGCAUUAUAGUGGGCAGGAAACAGAUUUAUCAGAAUUCGAAGAAGAACUGCCAAGGGUAAGGAUAAAGAGGGUUUUAAUGGAGCUUUGCAGUUGAGACUUGUUAGUUGAGAACAGUGGGGUGUGAGGCCGUAUAUGAUUGAUGCAAGAAUUGUAUGUCAAAAUGGAAAUGGAAUAUGGUAACAAUAUAUUUUUGUUGUUGGGUCCCCAAGGACAUGGCAAUCAACCUAUGUGGUGUACAUGUGUGUUGAGCUUAGAGAGGAAGUUGGUUAAUGGAUCUGAUAAUAGUGGAAUCCAUGCAAGACAUUAGCUACGACUCGAGCAAAUAGAUAUCCCCUAUGAGAAUUGUAUGAACAACCAUGUUGAAUUUCUUAUGUUGGACCAAAGUGGGGGAGAUCAGAAUCUCGAGCCUGAGAUGAUCCAGAAAACUGCUUAGCAGAUAUAAUUGUUGAUGAUGAGCUGCUUUAUGAAAGGAUAGAAGAGGUACAUGACCAUCAUAGAAUUUCGUCGACAAGAGUUGUGGUGAUAUGGAAAUGCAUAUGAGAUGAAAGCAAUCUAUAGAUGAGAACGUUGUUGGAGAAUCGAUUUGGGAUUUAAGAGGACGUUGGAUCUCCGUGAGGAAUAUGGAACCUGGUCUGUUGCAUGAACCAUUAGAUUUCAAAGGACGAGUUGUUUACCCAUUUGGGUUAGGGAUGUUAGAGUUGAGGUAUCGACAUACGGAAUUCGGGGACGAAUUCUAUUCAAGUGGGGGAGAAUUGUAACGGCCCGGUUCCUAGCCCAAAAUUUUUCAUAAAAGAAGGGCUUCUCUACGGCCCAUUUGACAAAAACCUAGGGUUUCCUUCACCCUUUCGUAUAAAAAGAGACUCAGCCCCUUCUUUUUUCUCAUUUCUGAAACUUGAGCGAAGCUCUGCAGAGAUUUAGAGAGACUAGGAAACCCUAGCCGUCAAGCUUCUCUUUUCCUUUUCUCUCUUCUUCUCUCACGCCUCUCUUUCUCUCUCUCUCUCUCUCUCUCUCCCUCCGUGAUCUCUCUCCUCUCUCCCUCCUCCUCGUCGGUGCCGUGUGGUGGUGGUGGUGGUGGUUGCAGCUGUGGUGGUGGUGACCAGAUCUCGUCUCUCUCUUGUUUACUUGUUCCAGAUCUGUUCAGAUCUCCUCCUCCUUGUUUCCAGAUCAGAUCCAGAUCUAGGCUAAGGUGGAGUGUCUUGAACCCAUCUUGUUCUCAUAUUCUGUAUACUCCUUUAUGUUGGAGUUAGGUUUGAUUAGACCCUGUUUGAGAGCUAGGAUGAUAGAACAUGGAUAUUACUACGAUGAUAGAACAUGGAUAUUACUAGGAUGAUAGAUGAAUGGAUCAUGAUGCAUAAGAACCCUCAUACUUAAAUAGGACUUAAUGAACUGAAAUGGAGUUGUGGUAGUGAUGAUUGAUUGGUGAUUGAUGCUUGUAUGUUUGGAUGUGUAGUCCCUUGAGUGGUUUGCGAUUAAAGCUAUGAUGGUAGAAAGAAGUGAAUGCUAGGUUGAUAGAUGAGAAAUGAAUGUUAAGGUUAUUGAGUAGAACUUGAGUGCGAUGUGUAUUAUGUGUGACACCGAUAACGGGUGGCGUCUAGUGAAUGAGUUCAAGUCCAAGACUAAGUGAAAAAGGAAAGUGAAUGAGAAUGAGAAGGGAUAAGUGAAAGUGAUAAGGAUGUGAAAGGAUAAGUGAAUGUAUAAGAGAAUAAUGUCAAGGUUAAGCAUGAGUCGGGAAAUCAUAUAGAGUCUAAGGAAAGUAUGUGUGGCAGUAGUUCCACGCUAGAUAUCCAUAGGAGAUGUGGCGAAUCCACAAGAAUAUAGACGCACCCAUAGGAGAUGUGGCGAAUCCACAAGAAUAUGGGAUAGAAGCCUAGCGGGAGCUACCCACAAUGAAAAGAAACGAAGUGCCAACCGCGAGAGGCGGGAUAUAAAAACGUGCAUUGUAGAGUCCUUAGUUCAUGGUCGGGUAACGGGGUGUUAAAGGUGUCAUAGGAUUGAGUCGGUCUGGUAAGAUGAGUCAAUUAAGUCUAGGGUUUGGCGUGUGUGGCAAUGAGUGAGAUCAUUGUAUUGAUUGAUCACUAGGUUGCUAGAAAUGUAUGGAAUUGAAUGUUUGAAAUUAAUGAUGACGAUAUGAAAUGAUAAGAUGCAUUAACUGAUUGUAGUGGCUAGUCAGUCCUAGUUCCCGCAUAGAGUAGUAUAGAGUGUCAUGCGGGCAGGCUGGUCUAGAGUCACUUCACUGAGUAAUUUGUUGCUCACUCAUUCAUUUCCAUUUCCCUGUGCGCAGGACUAUAAGUAGAAGUAUAUGGAUGUGGGUGUGACGGUAUUUCAAAGAAGGUUAUGCGUCCGUUGACUCUUGGAGCCAGUAACAGGACACGUAGGGUUGUCUAAAUGAGUAGACACGUGUCCAUAACGCCCUUUCGAUAACUCCGGUGGGACGCCAGGGAAUCGGGCUGUUACAUUUACACUAACCACUUUUACCCUCAUUUUUAAUGAAGGGUAAAAUAUAAUUAUAUAAUAAAUCUAGACUUAGGGUUUAGAGUUGAGGGGUGGGGUAGGGUUUUUGGAAUGUGAAAUUUAUGAUUCUAAUAAAUAUAUAAAUACUUAUAAAAUAUAUAUAAAUUUAAAAAAAAUAGUUUCAAACAUAAUUUUCGUUCUUCAAAAAUAAAUUUGAAAAAAAAAAUAAAAAAAUUCGAAAAAAAAAAUUCAUAAAAAAAUUAUAAAAAAGAUCGAAUCGAAUUUGAAAAAGUAUUUAAAUAAUAAUUUAUUAUAUAUAUAAAUAACAAGGGCAUAAGAGUCUUUUGUCACUUAAUGAAGAAGGUAAUUUUGAAAAUGUCUCAUUAGUGGUGGUAAAAAUGAAAAAUGGUACCAUAAAAGUGGUAAACAUGUAAUUUCCCCUAUAUUAUUAGGAUUAAGAAUUUUUAAUUAAAAACAAUAUUAUUGAUUAAGAGAUUAAAGGUUGAUUUAAAAUAAAAUAAAAUAGUAAUUAAGAUAUUUCUAACUACCAUGAACAUUUGUAAAUAAUAAUUUUUUUUUCAUCAAAAUAUCCUAUAACAAGUUGUUUUUAACACACGUAAGCAAAUUUCUAAAUAAGGGAAAAAUAUUGUAAAACAAGAUAUUUCAUACUAAAGGGAAAUUGCCACA